AGUCCUGUGGCCCAGCGGCGAAGGCACCUGGUUUACACCCAGUCGAUCGACGGUUCGAGUCCGUCCAGGACUAC
rnacentral:tRNA from 1 species